rnacentral:rRNA from 1 species
AUUGAACUCUGGCGGCAGGCUUAACACAUGCAAGUCGAACGAGUGGCGGACGGGUGAGUAAUGCUUGGGAAUCUAGCUUAUGGAGGGGGAUAACUACGGGAAACUGUAGCUAAUACCGCAUACCAUCGGAUGUGCCCAGAUGGGAUUAGCUAGUAGGUGGGGUAACGUCUCACCUAGGCGACGAUCCCUAGCUGGUCUGAGAGGAGUACCAGCAACACUGGAACUGAGACACGGUCCAGACUCCUACGGGAGGCAGCAUUGGGGAAUAUUGCACAAUGGGCGCAAGCCUGAUGCAGCCAUGCCGCGUGUAUGAAGAAGGCCUUCGGGUUGUAAAGUACUUUCAGCGAGGAGGCGUUACUCGCAGAAGAAGCACCGGCUAACUCCGUGCCAGCAGCCGCGGUAAUUC